UACGUAGGGUGCAAGCGUUGUCCGGAAUUAUUGGGCGUAAAGAGCUCGUAGGCGGUUUGUCGCGUCGGCUGUGAAAACUCGGGGCUCAACCCCGAGCCUGCAGUCGAUACGGGCAGACUAGAGUGCUGUAGGGGAGACUGGAAUUCCUGGUGUAGCGGUGAAAUGCGCAGAUAUCAGGAGGAACACCGGUGGCGAAGGCGGGUCUCUGGGCAGUAACUGACGCUGAGGAGCGAAAGCGUGGGGAGCAAACGGG
rnacentral:rRNA from 1 species